GAUUACUAUUUGUUCAUGAACGUUUUUGUGCAGUCAAUAUUAUGUAAUAUCAAUGUGCCCACUCUUAAAUUUAAUAUAUGAAGAUUUUCGUCUAUUCGUCACACAAUUCUAAUACAUCAGCUGUCCUUAAACAUCUCGUUAUUUUUAAUUACUCCACGUAUAAUUUAUAACGAUCGAGUCAGUAAUAAUUAAGUAAUAAACAAGUAAGUAAUGAAAUAGACAGAGUUUCCUCGUCGAUAUAACGUCAACUAUUUUUUAGCAUGUGCGCCACAUUUUUGCGGAGCAGAAAAAGCAGAUCAUUGAUGACUAAUUUAGAAUUGUUUAUGGCAUUGGACGCAAGUAAUGUGAUGCUUUUCGGUAUAUUGAAUUGUAGAGAAACUAUCGAGUGCAUUAAAUAUCGUUUGGCCAGAGAAAACGAAUCUGAUAACUAUAUCGAUAACUAUGGGCCAGGCUUUUACGACUUCUGACAAGCAGUGUGUGAUUCAUGCACAUGCAGGCUUUUCAUUAGCAGUUAAACAAUAAAACACAUACAGUGAUGACCCUCCCUGGAAUAAACGGGUGGAAUGGUUUUUUUUUAUGGUCCCCUUCCAACAGUUUUACCGUUUAACGUUGAGUAAUUGGAGAUCUAAAAUUACGAGGUUUCGUAUAUCGUUACUCUGUCAUUUCGAUUGUGCACACACAUAAAAUUCCCGAAUGUAAUAUUUGUUCUAUGAUCUGUUGAAUUGGUUACUUCCAAUCAGCCUGCAGAAGACAGUUGUUUUUUCGCCUUGCGUCAUUUCGUAGUUUUCACUUGACCGCGCCAUUUUCAGAACAUCGGUAAAUCAGUGAAUGUUGUUCAUACAAGAGGUGUGUUAAAUAAUCGUCUUUACGUUGAAUUAAACGAUUAUGUCUAUUUUACAUAAAAUAACUAUGUUGUUCAUAUGCAAAGUUUUAACAAUGCAGUAUCACAAGCGGCAGUUUCGGUUUCAUUUGAAUGUUUUUCAAUCGGUAGUGUUUUUCCGUAUUAAAAAUGUCCGUGAUAUAAGAAGUAAGGAACAUAGCAUUUUCUAAAACUAUUCAUUGCUGUAUAAUCUUUCUAUACCAAGUUUUUUUAAGCAUAUUGUGCCGUGGUGAAACUUUACACGAACAUUUAUCUGCUCGCCGUAAACUUUUUUUUUUUUUUUUUUACAAAGGGUAUACAAGUAGCAGGAUUUUAAGCAGUUUACAGUUGGGUUCAACACAAAUAGAUUAAGAUUUAAGGUUAGCAGUGCAUUUGUAUGGAUUGUUUUUGUUCGGAUGUGUGAGUAUUUCAGUAAUUAGAAAUAAUUAUGUUACAAUUGCAAUAAAUAUAAAAACUAUUUAUUUUGUUUAUUUAAAUUAUGGAAGUGAGUCAAAAACCUUGAAAUGUAAUAUGUUGUCAUUGCAUUUUGUAUUUUAUUAAUGGUAAAUGUUCAAAAGUUAAAUCUUUGUUUUACUAUUAUCAUUUUUACCUAAUAAAUCUAUUAUGCAUUUACUUAGAUAUAUUUUCUUUUGCAGGCACUGGUUCUUUGAAUCUCCAUCUACUAAAUCAAAUUGAAAGACAGGGCAACCUCUUAGGAUUUGUAAAUACAUAGGCUGCAAAAACAUGGUUUAUAGCAUUCAGAAAUUGAAUUUUGUAAUAUUAAUACUAAGUGAAGCUCAUUUUGAGAUCCAGAAGAAACCAUUAAAUGUAUAAAUAAGAGUAACAUGCCUAAAGCACAGUUGCAAAUAGUGGUUGUAGGUGAUUUUUUUCCUAAGAGUUGCUGGUGGCAAUGUUUAACCAAUUUGAAAACAUCACUUCUUAAUAACGGCCUAAAUUACCUUGUUUUCUUGUUUUUGUGAUUUUGAGCUUUGCAAUCCACUGGGGACAUCAAGAAAGAAGCACAAAUUGUGUAGUGUUUACUGGAUCCUCAGUAACUUACCAUCAGGGUCUCAUUCAGCUCUUUCUUCAAUUUAUUUGACAGUUUUGUGCAAAAGUGAUGAUGUCAAGGUAUAUGGCUAUGGUAAAAUAUUAGAGCCACUUAUGCAAGACCUUUUAACUUUAGAAGAGCAAGGUGUGUUUAUAUCAAAGCUUGGAAGGUGCAUAAAAGGAGCAGUUCAUAGCGUUAUAGCUGAUAAUUUGGGAGCCCAUGGAUUGGCUGGUUUUGUUGAGAGCUUUUCUGGGCCAUAUAUUUGCAGAUUUUGUACUGCUCAAAAAGUAGAUAUUCAAUUAAAGGAUGUUCAUUCAGGGGAUUUUGUGCUUCGAACCAAAGAAAUACAUGAAUUGCAUGUGAAGUCUGCCCAGGAAACAAAAACAAAUUGCUUUGGAGUGAAGAGAGCAUGCCCUUUAACUGAAAAUCUUCAUUAUUUUCAUGUUAGUACAGGCUAUCCCCCAGAUAUAGUGCAUGAUUUAUUUGAAGGCAUUGUCCCAUUUGAAGUGGCUCUUUGUUUGAACAUUUUGAUCUCAAAGAAGUAUUUUACUCUUGAAUGUCUUAACACACACAUCCUCAAAUUUCCUUACAAGUGGAGUGACAAAAAAAAUUGAUCUCACAUCAUACCACACAGCUAUUUAUGGAAGAAGACAAUAGGUGGCACCGCCCAUGAGAAUUGGAACUUAAUACGUUUUCUUCCAUUUCUAGUGGGAGACAUUAUAAAUGAGGAUGAGCUCGCUUGGCUAGUCUUAUUAGAUCUAAAGGAAAUUGUAGAAUUAGUAGUGGCACCUGUUCAUACUGAUGAAACAAUUGCCUACCUUGAAGUUAGUGUGUGAGCACAGACAGAGGCUACUUGAGCUUAACCCCGAUGGAAAGCUUUUACCCAAACACCACUAUCUUGAGCAUUACCCAUAUUUGAUUAGAUGCUUUGGGCCUCUUGUAGGUGUAUGGACUAUGAGAUUCAAAGCUAAACAUAGCUUCUUUAAACAAGUUGCCCGACACACAAAUAAUUUCCGGAAUAUUCCACACUCACUGGCAGUCAGACACCAGCAACUGAUCGGUUACCACAUAUAUUCAUCCAGUCUUAAUCCAAUACAUUUGGAAGUUAAGGAAGUUUCAGCUGUACAGGUUGAUGUUCUGAAUAAGGAAAUUGUAUUGGCUCUCAGGCAGAAAUAUCCACACAUCAAUCAAGUUCAUCUAGCAAAAAAUGUCACCACUAGAGGAAUUAAUUACAGAACUGGAAUGGUAGUUGCAUAUGGUUCAACUGCUGGAAUGCCAGAAUUUGCAGAGAUAAUACAAAUGUGCAUAAUCGGGGAUGCUUUGAGUUUUAUUGUGCGUUUAUUUUGCGCUUGGUAUAGAGAUCAUUUUAGAGCUUUUGAGUUGACGUUGUCACCAGGUAAAGAGGUUGCCCUGGCUCAGCUUGAGGAGCUGACCGAUUGCUAUCCACUUGUGGCCUACACAGUUGGAACUAAGUGUAUGGUAACUCUGAAGAGAAACAUUGUCAUCAAAGAUUGAAAAAAACAAGAUGCCAGUACCAGUUAACUUCAGAGUCCUUUUUGAAGGUGAAGACGAUGCAAGAAAGCUAACAAUUGAAUCUGGGAUGCCAGCAUCUGUGGAAAAAUUGGCUUGUGAAAUUAAGACUGUUUUUGGAGUAACUGAAGAUUUCAGAAUUCAGUACAAAGACAUAGAUUUUGGAAAUGAAUUUAUGAACCUCUUAUCCAUUUCGGACAUUCAAGAUAGAAGUACUUUAAAAGUUGUAUACUUGCCUUCUGACACUUUCAUUUAAUCCCAGAUCCUGUUAAUGCAGAUACUUGCACCACAAUUCCAGUAACACCCCCUUGUCCCUCCACCAGCUCUUCACAGGGACCAAAUGAUUCAACAUCCAUCGACUUGCUUAGCAGCAGUGAUGCUGUUAUGUUGACAUCAUGUCCCGAGUCCCGUUCCUGCUCUUGGCCUCAAACCUUUGUCAUACCAUGCUUUUCAUAUUGUGCAGAGAUGCAGCUCCAGAAGGGAAAUGUUGAAUUCAAUGGGAAUGGAACUCUACUAUCUCUUACUACAAAGGUUAGAUCAGAUAUUCUCGAAGGCCUUGCAGAAGAAAUAAUUAAGUACACGGCAUAUCCAAAGGAUGAUCAAAUUGAAGAAGUUGCUAAGGCCUUGAUAAAGACACACCCAUGCUUGUAUGAAAAAGGAACUAGCACUGGGUAUUAUGGCUGGAAGCACUGUAUAAAGAUCAAGAUGAUGAACUUCCGCACAAAGCUUGGUCGAGUUGGACACCCAGAAGUUGUUAUCAACUCCUUUAAGAACAAAAGAAAAGGCCAGGGUAAACCAGCUGCAAAUAUAAAGAAGCCUCAGAAAGCAGAGGUUAAUUUCUGUCCCAGCCAUCCAAGAGGUGAAACCACAGACAGCCUAGAGAUGGAAAGGGUUGCACUUUUGACAGAGGUAAAAAAAAAAGAAAUAAUGAGGAAAAGAUGCACAGAACUUUCUCCUAUAGAAGACAAGAAGUUCUUCAGGAGCCAAUGGUUUCAGCAUUUCGAAACAGUUGACCUGCUCUGUUUGAAGUUGGUGAAUUGGAUAAAUAUACUAACAGCCUGUUAAAGGUUUUUCAUGCCAAAGGAGAAUCUGCAGGACAGAAAAUCCACUCAAUAAUGGCAUUGACAGCUAUAAAUGAAGAUAUAAAUCUCAAACGUGACUGUAUCUUGAAGAGUGUCUACCUCAAUGAAGACAUGGAUACAAUUGUCAAAGAAUACAUGGACUGUGAAUGUGCAGAGGCUGUGUCAGGAAUUGCAGGAACAACAAUGGGCAUCUACAUCAUUCGUGGAGAGGGUGCUGGUCAUGGAGAAAAAGCAACAAAUGUUGGCAUAGUUCUUGAAGGUGUGGAUGUACUGCAAAACCUUCAUAGUGUCACCUUGGGAAGUAUGAUGCUUUUUGGACUGAUUUAUUCAUUAAACCUAAACUAUCCCAAAGACCUGAAGUGCACAUUUGAAGUGUAUCAAAAAAUUUUCAUGGAGCUGGAACCAACCAAGCUUUCACCAAAGGUUCAAGCAUUGAAAAUGAAAUUGAUUCAGUUCUUGGACACAUAACUAAACAUUGUCUAGGUAGAAUUUACCCAUGUUACUUUCCUGUACUAUCCUGUAAAAGUGUGAUGAUACAAUGUCAUUAAUGUUAAUGCAAUGUUUAUGUUCUAUGUUUUUUGAUUGUGGUGUUCUGAAAAAAAAUGGAUAUCAGGAUGUCUUUAAUGUAGAUAUGCUGCAUUAGAGUUCCAUUCUUUGUUUAUUAGGUUUAUCUACCUCCAGUUUAACAAAAUAAAUAACAGUAUUUUAUUGAUAUUUGACUUAUCAUUGCUUAGUUCUGUUUCUUUAUUUUUUUGUCAUAGAAAAAGGGAGAAACGUGUCAUGGUUUUUGUCACGGCUGCUCAUUUACACAGAAUUUUUCCAUAAUCAGACUGAACAGUGUUUAACAGUGUUACUAAGUCUGUUUUUUAAUGUAGUUUUACAUGCAUUUCGGUAUCAAUAAAUUGUUAAAAUGUGAAA